UACGGAGGGGGGCUAGCGUUGUUCGGAAUUACUGGGCGUAAAGCGCACGUAGGCGGCUUUUGUAAGUUAGAGGUGAAAGCCCGGGGCUCAACUCCGGAAUUGCCUUUAAAACUGCAUCGCUCGAAUUGUGGAGAGGUAAGUGGAAUUCCGAGUGUAGAGGUGAAAUUCGUAGAUAUUCGGAAGAACACCAGUGGCGAAGGCGACUUACUGGACACAUAUUGACGCUGAGGUGCGAAAGCGUGGGGAGCAAACAGG
rnacentral:rRNA from 1 species